rnacentral:rRNA from 1 species
GAUGAACGCUGGCGGCGUGCCUAAUACAUGCAAGUCGAGCGAACGGACGAGAAGCUUGCUUCUCUGAUGUUAGCGGCGGACGGGUGAGUAACACGUGGAUAACCUACCUAUAAGACUGGGAUAACUUCGGGAAACCGGAGCUAAUACCGGAUAAUAUUUUGAACCGCAUGGUUCAAAAGUGAAAGACGGUCUUGCUGUCACUUAUAGAUGGAUCCGCGCUGCAUUAGCUAGUUGGUAAGGUAACGGCUUACCAAGGCAACGAUGCAUAGCCGACCUGAGAGGGUGAUCGGCCACCCGGGAACUGAGACACGGUCCAGACUCCUACGGGAGGCAGCAGUAGGGAAUCUUCCGCAAUGGGCGAAAGCCUGACGGAGCAACGCCGCGUGAGUGAUGAGGGUCUUCGGAUCGUAAAGCUCUGUUAUUAGGGAAGAACAUAUGUGUAAGUAACUGUGCACAUCUUGACGGUACCUAAUCAGAAAGCCACGGCUAACUACGUG